UGUUACCAAGGUUUCCUGGGGUUCGGGCGGUGGCGCGACGGCGGCUUAGAGACGCGAACCGACCGAGAUCUUCCUAGGCUCGCGAGAGCGCCCCCUUCUCUAGCGGCUUAGGGGACCCAGCGGCCGCGAUGGCCCCUGUGUCGGGUUCGCGCAGCCCUGAGGGGUCGGCCUCGGGCUCCGGGGGGAAGCGUCGCAGUUCGUCCAGAAGCCCUAAGCCCAGCCGAUCCGCCCGCUCCCCGCGGGGCCGUCGCUCGCGCUCGAGAUCUCGCUCGCACUCUUGCUCUCGGAAUGGUCUCAGCCAUCAGCUGGGCAGCUUCGGUCAGGGCUCGCGAAACCAGUCCUACCGUUCCCGCUCGCGGUCCCGCUCCCGGGAGCGGCCCUCGGCGCAGCGGGGCAACACCUUCGCUUCAGCCUCCUCGACCACGUAUUAUGGCGGCUACUCGCGCCCCUAUGGGAGCGACAAGCCAUGGCCCAGCCUUCUGGACAAGGAGAGGGAGGAGAGCCUGCGGCAGAAGAGAUUAAGUGAGAGAGAAAGAAUUGGAGAACUGGGAGCUCCUGAAGUAUGGGGACUUUCUCCAAAGAAUCCAGAACCAGACUCUGAUGAACACACACCAGUGGAGGACGAUGAGCCAAAGAAAAGCACCAGUUCAGCUUCUACUUCAGAAGAAGAAAAGAAGAAGAAGAAGAAGUCUAAUCAUUCGAAAGAGAGGUCCAAGAAAAAGAGAAAGAAGAAAUCCUCUAAAAGAAAACGCAAGAAGUACUCUGAUGACAGCGACAGUGACUCUGACUCUGACUCAGACUCCAGUGAUGAAGAUACAAAAAGAAGAGCAAAGAAAGCCAAGAAAAAGGAAAAGAAGAAGAAACAUAGAUCGAAGAAAUACAAGAAAAAGAAGUCUAAGAAGAAUAGAAAAGAUUCCAGUGAUUCAAGCUCUAAAGAUUCCCAGGAAGAGUUUCUGGAGAAUCCCUGGAAGGAUCGAUCAAAGCCUGAAGAACCCUCAGACUUAAUUGGCCCAGAGGCUCCAAAAACACUUGCCUCUCAGGAUGAUAAACCUUUGAACUAUGGCCAUGCGCUGUUACCUGGUGAGGGCGCAGCUAUGGCUGAAUAUGUGAAAGCGGGGAAACGUAUCCCAAGAAGAGGUGAAAUUGGCUUGACGAGUGAAGAAAUUGCAUCAUUUGAAUGUUCGGGUUAUGUAAUGAGUGGUAGCAGGCAUCGCCGAAUGGAGGCCGUGCGACUGCGGAAAGAGAACCAGAUCUAUAGUGCUGAUGAGAAGAGAGCCCUGGCGUCCUUUAACCAAGAAGAGAGGCGAAAGAGAGAAAACAAGAUUUUGGCCAGUUUUCGAGAGAUGGAAACAAUUUCUCAUUGUGCUACUCUCCCAUGGAUGGCUUAGCCAAUUACAUAUUAUUGGACACUCAAAAUCAACAGGCACCUGGAAGUACAUGCCCAAAACUCUUAUCAAUGCUGUGGAAGAGCUCUUCUAGUCUUCAGGUCACUCUCAGAGUGAGUGAACAGGCGGCAUCUUAACAAAGAUCUCAAGAGAGCCUGAUUCACAAACCCUGGCUGCAGUAGGCAGAGGCUUUCGCCCGACUCCAAAGGGGGACGUUCUCCAAAGCAAGAAGGUCCAAGAGUAAGUAGUACUUUGUGCCGUGCACCUCGCUUCCACCUCACUGGGCCUUCCUUGGGCCUAGGGAACUGCCCUUAGGGCUGUAGGCCGUGACGGGCUGGCCAGAGAAGCAGAGACAGCAGGAAGCUUCUCGAGGGCUGAAGAGUUUGCCUCCACCUGUUCCGGCUCGGCUGUCUUCUGAGGAAAUACAGUGGGCGAGUAGGGACUGAGGAAAUACAGCGAGUAGGGAUUUCAGGUCAUGGUUUAACCCACCCUGCCAGGUAUGCAAGGCAACCUGGAUAAGCCGCUCCAGGAUAAGCCACACAAAUGGGUCAGACCCAGGCAGAGGCAGAAAAGAGACAGGAAUUCACAGACAUGCACAUCACAGUGUGCAGGCAUGAUGUUCCAAAACCAACUCAGAAAGAUCCAUCGGCAUCCCCUCUGUUAAUACGAGGUCUCUAAAGUUGGUGACGGGAGAAUUCCUGGUUUGAAAGCCAGCAUGGGAAAAUGGCUUAACCGGGCCUCUCGGAUUUGCCGAGGGAGACGUAAGGUUAGGAAGAUACAAACAAGGAAAGACGACUGUGCCUCUCACCCAUCGAGCCAUACCAUUUUGAUCUUGGAACCCAGAUGGGGGACAAUUGUUUACUUUUUAGUCUCCUUUGAAAUCAUCUAGGAUUUCUGGGUCUGAAACUUUUCAUCAGAUGCUCCUUUUCAUUGUUCCUCGCCCUUGUAUGCCCAUCCGGAGCGGUCCACUAACUUACCAGGACGAACUCCUCAAUCUGUUUGCGGCCCCUUUCUGCUGUGAAUUCACCGUGUGUGAUCCAUUUGAUGCUUUUGGUGGGCUUUUCAGCUUCUGCAAGAAAAGGAGGUGUACAAAUUAUAUAUCAUCUGCCUGAAACUAUCAUUUUUUACCAUCUCCUCUCCUGAGGUAAUAUACUUCCAUAAGUACUUGGUUUGGUGAACACUUCCAGAAAACUGUUCAGUGAAAGGGAAGGUAACAUGCCUCCUGACUUCAGUGGGCGUGCUUUCUGCUGUUCCAUCAUAACGUGUGCUGCUGGUUUAUGGUGACAGAUGUGUCACAUCGGGAAUCUCUUUGCUCCUAUUCUGGUAAGAGGUUUAUCAUAAAUGAUCACUAAAAUUUUCCAGAUGUUUUUAACAUCUACGGAAAUGGUGAAACUUAAUCGUUAUUCGGGCUGUGAACAAGGGUUCAUCACAGUGUAAGACUCUGCCCCUUUUCUGUCUUUUUUCCAUCCUUUCCUCUUGAGUCUUGGAUUCUCUUUCUUUCCUGGCUACUAUUUAAGUCUCUUCACUUUUGACAAAUCACUUCCUUCUAGCACAGCUAUGCAUCCCUGUGGCCAGUGGCAUGGGGGGGGUGCUGUAGCAAAGUGGGUGUCUCUCUCCAAAGGGAGCUCAUUAUUCUUCUGUAGUUACUGCUUCCAAUUUUGGGGUGUUUAAUGUGCCUUGUUUCAUUUAACUCAGCCCUACUCCAUGAAAUCGUGCACUAGACACCUUCCAUUUGCCCUUUCAGAUCCACUCCUCCUGUGUCCCCUGCUCUCUGUCCUGUAAGGCUGACCUGCCUGGACUGCAUCAGUGGGCUCUCCCCUUCCCUCUGGCUUCCAGGAGGUUCUGCACAAUGCGGAGACCAGGCUGAGGGAGGAGAAGGAAGGCAAGUGAUAUGUUCUCUGGGGAGCAGUCCGCCUUCAGGGUCCCCUGUGGCUGGAGCAGACCCUGCUUGUCCCAGGGCAGGGGUCUCACUUCUCAGCCCUGUAAGGGCAGUUAUGCUCUCCCCUCAGCCCCGUUCUAGAACAGCCCAACUGUUCUAGCCCCAGGGGAGCUGCACUUGCCCUUGUAGCCCUCCUGUCCGCCCACACCUUCGUAAACACUCCGUUCGCUUAACCCUUCUCUACCUGCACUGCUCUUAGUACGCCAGGUUUCCUGGUGGGACCCUGCGACACAGAGAGACUCUUGUCACCACAUGAAAGGAGGAGGCCAGGCUCACAGCCAGACUGUCUGGCUCGGCGGCUGAUGCACUCAACUACCCCACUCUCUUCCCUCCAGGACUCCAGAGUCUGAAGCCCUCCUGAAGUUCAGAAUGUGCUCACUUGCUUUCUGUGAGCCCCUUCGAGGAGAGGCACCCUCCGCUCCCUUUCUCAUUGUUGGUUCCAGGGUGUGCUGGGGGCUGUCCAGGGCAGCCCAGUUCUUGGGGCCGUCAGUCCAGGCAUGGUCUGAACAGCCUUUCAAGCCUUGGGUAAUGCUGACUUGUGUUCAUUUGGGUCUUCAUAUUAGCAUUUGUGGCUCGGUUUGCAUCUGCCUCAGUUCCCUGUGGCUGCUCUCCGGGGGUGGACGAGGCCGUGUACCGGGGGAGGACGGAGUCUUCCCAGGCUGCCCGUCCCAGACAGUGAGGGGAGCCUGAAGGUUGGCCAGUGAGGGAGUCCAAAGGCCCUCGAGCUAGAGAACUGGCUGUCCCCAGCCUAAGAAUUGGGCCAAUUAGGCCACAGCAAUUUGCUAUAAACUCUGUAGUUAAAGACAACAGUGGAGUUUUUUUGGUAAACCGGUAAAUUUAGGAGGCUUUGGUGAGUUAACCGUACAGCAGCUUGAUCCUUUAAACGAAUGGCCCACGUGGCGACUCGGUCACUCAGUGACUUGGGUUUCAGCAAACUGCUUCUUGAUGAAUUGAACAGAAGCCAAAUAUGUAACUUCCAAAACCAGGCAGAGGAGGUGGGGGGUUCUCAUCCAUGGAAGGACCUCCUUAAGACCUUCCCUAGGGAGCCCUGUAUUCCGGCAGGAGGGAGAAAGGGGAGCAGGGGCUCACAUCGUGCCCUUGCACAUCCAUGGGCACGCAUCCUUCAUAAGCGUCCCUCCGACUGACUUGUCCUCAUGCUUCGUCUCCCCUCCCUGCCUAAGGAGGAGGCCAGAUGGGCAGGAAAGGCCGGGCGUGUGGUGGAGCCCGGGGUCAGGUGACAGCUGCAGAGAACCAGUGUGAGGCCUCUUUGCAGCACCCCCCACCCCCCACAAGCUCCCCACCCCAGUACCUGAGUGAGCAGAUCCUUGUUUGGAGCAGUACCGGCCAGGUCAGCCUCAGACUCCCGGCCGCUCUGGCCCAGGCCUGCCAGACAGAAUGUUGACAUGUGCUCCCCGGGCAACACCCAUUCCCACCAAUGGGAAGCAAAGCCCUGAGUGGCCACCCGCUUCUGCCAGUGAAGGCAGGGAUAGUCCGUCCCAGCAACCUUGUGACCUCUGCCCUGUGGCACUCAUGGCCAGCUUCCUCCGGCAGUGGGGGAGCUCAAAGGGCUUUUGCUGGAGAAGCAGGGAUGGCAGGUGCGGCAUGUGGUGGGGGUGAUGGGGGUCUGCUCUCUGGGCCACUGGGUGCAGCGCCGUGUGUGUGUGCAUGUGUGUGCGUGUGUGUGUGUGUGUGUGUGUGUGUGGUCUCCGCCUCCUCCUGGCAGCCUGCUGGCCACCAGUAGUGUUUGCGUUACCAGGAGACACAGCAAGGCACCCAGGGUAUCAGACCCAGGGCCGCUGGCCUCACUGAUGGAACUCCUUACUUCUCGAGACCCACAUUCCCAGGCUCGGAACUCCCUGCGUGCUUGACUGUUUUCAGGGGUGUCUUUUGUGAAUCACGGAUGAGCUUCCAACAUAAUGGUUAUCAGCCUAGACCCGGGAACAGUUUACUGCGCGUUUCAUAGUUUCCUUGUCUGCGAAAUGGGGAUCAUAGUGCCUGUGGAAUAGGGGUCCGCAGGAGGACCGGAUCCCGCGAUUCCUGUCAAGACUGGGAACAGUGCUUGGUGCAUCAGAAGCGGUCUUCACACUGACCAGAUCGUUUUUCUAGUAUUAUCACUAAUAGCAGUAGUACUGUAGAGUGUUCUUUUAAAUGGUAAAAUGGAAAGUUGUGGGCCCUGGGGCGCCUGGGUGGCUCAGUUGGUUAAGCGUCUGCCUUGGGCUUAGGUUAUAAUCCUGGGACCCUGGGAUAGAGCCCUGAGUCCUCGUCAUCGUCAUUGUACUUGUUGUCGUUGUCAUCCUCAGGCUCCCUGCGCUCCCUCUCCCCCUCCCCUCCCUCUGCAGCUCCCCC